AGACCCGAAACCCGGUGAUCUAGCCAUGGGCAGGUUGAAGGUUGGGUAACACUAACUGGAGGACCGAACCGACUAAUGUUGAAAAAUUAGCGGAUGACCUGUGGCUGGGGGUGAAAGGCCAAUCAAACCGGGAGAUAGCUGGUUCUCCCCGAAAGCUAUUUAGGUAGCGCCUCGUGAAUUCAUCUCCGGGGGUAGAGCACUGUUUCGGCUAGGGGGCCAUCCCGGCUUACCAACCCGAUGCAAACUGCGAAUACCGGAGAAUGUUAUCACGGGAGACACACGGCGGGUGCUAACGUCCGUCGUGAAGAGGGAAACAACCCAGACCGCCAGCUAAGGUCCCAAAGUCAUGGUUAAGUGGGAAACGAUGUGGGAAGGCCCAGACAGCCAGGAUGUUGGCUUAGAAGCAGCCAUCAUUUAAAGAAAGCGUAAUAGCUCACUGGUCGAGUCGGCCUGCGCGGAAGAUGUAACGGGGCUAAACCAUGCACCGAAGCUGCGGCAGCGACACUAUGUGUUGUUGGGUAGGGGAGCGUUCUGUAAGCCUGCGAAGGUGGCCUGUGAGGGUUGCUGGAGGUAUCAGAAGUGCGAAUGCUGACAUAAGUAACGAUAAAGCGGGUGAAAAGCCCGCUCGCCGGAAGACCAAGGGUUCCUGUCCAACGUUAAUCGGGGCAGGGUGAGUCGACCCCUAAGGCGAGGCCGAAAGGCGUAGUCGAUGGGAAACGGGUUAAUAUUCCCGUACUUGGUGUUACUGCGAAGGGGGGACGGAGAAGGCUAUGUUGGCCGGGCGACGGUUGUCCCGGUUUAAGCGUGUAGGUGUGUGUUCCAGGUAAAUCCGGUUCACUUUAACACUGAGGCGUGACGACGAGGCACUACGGUGCUGAAGCAACAAAUGCCCUGCUUCCAGGAAAAGCCUCUAAGCAUCAGGUAACAUCAAAUCGUACCCCAAACCGACACAGGUGGUCAGGUAGAGAAUACCAAGGCGCUUGAGAGAACUCGGGUGAAGGAACUAGGCAAAAUGGUGCCGUAACUUCGGGAGAAGGCACGCUGACACGUAGGUGAAGUGAUUUACUCACGGAGCUGAAGUCAGUCGAAGAUACCAGCUGGCUGCAACUGUUUAUUAAAAACACAGCACUGUGCAAACACGAAAGUGGACGUAUACGGUGUGACGCCUGCCCGGUGCCGGAAGGUUAAUUGAUGGGGUCAGCGCAAGCGAAGCUCCUGAUCGAAGCCCCGGUAAACGGCGGCCGUAACUAUAACGGUCCUAAGGUAGCGAAAUUCCUUGUCGGGUAAGUUCCGACCUGCACGAAUGGCGUAAUGAUGGCCAGGCUGUCUCCACCCGAGACUCAGUGAAAUUGAACUCGCUGUGAAGAUGCAGUGUACCCGCGGCAAGACGGAAAGACCCCGUGAACCUUUACUAUAGCUUGACACUGAACAUUGAGCCUUGAUGUGUAGGAUAGGUGGGAGGCUUUGAAGUGUGGACGCCAGUCUGCAUGGAGCCGACCUUGAAAUACCACCCUUUAAUGUUUGAUGUUCUAACGUGGACCCGUUACCCGGGUUGCGGACAGUGUCUGGUGGGUAGUUUGACUGGGGCGGUCUCCUCCUAAAGAGUAACGGAGGAGCACGAAGGUUGGCUAAUCCUGGUCGGACAUCAGGAGGUUAGUGCAAUGGCAUAAGCCAGCUUGACUGCGAGCGUGACGGCGCGAGCAGGUGCGAAAGCAGGUCAUAGUGAUCCGGUGGUUCUGAAUGGAAGGGCCAUCGCUCAACGGAUAAAAGGUACUCCGGGGAUAACAGGCUGAUACCGCCCAAGAGUUCAUAUCGACGGCGGUGUUUGGCACCUCGAUGUCGGCUCAUCACAUCCUGGGGCUGAAGUAGGUCCCAAGGGUAUGGCUGUUCGCCAUUUAAAGUGGUACGCGAGCUGGGUUUAGAACGUCGUGAGACAGUUCGGUCCCUAUCUGCCGUGGGCGCUGGAGAACUGAGGGGGGCUGCUCCUAGUACGAGAGGACCGGAGUGGACGCAUCACUGGUGUUCGGGUUGUCAUGCCAAUGGCACUGCCCGGUAGCUAAAUGCGGAAGAGAUAAGUGCUGAAAGCAUCUAAGCACGAAACUUGCCCCGAGAUGAGUUCUCCCUGAGACUACGAGUCUCCUGAAGGAACGUUGAAGACGACGACGUUGAUAGGCCGGGUGUGUAAGCGCAGCGAUGCGUUGAGCUAACCGGUACUAAUGAACCGUGAGGCUUAACCUUACA
rnacentral:rRNA from 1 species